UACAGAGGAGCCAAGCGUUGUCCGGAUUGACUGGGCGUAAAGCGCACGCAGGCGGGGGUGCGCGUGGGGUGUGAAAUCUGGGCGCUUAACGGCCGGGCGCCAUCCCAUACGGCACGCCUGGAGCCUUGCAGAGGUCGGUGGAAUUGCCGGUGUAGUGGUGAAAUGCGUAGAGAUCGGCAGGAACACCCAGGGGGAAACCAGCCGACUGGGCAAGUGCUGACGCUGAGGUGCGAGAGCGUGGGGAGCGAACCGG
rnacentral:rRNA from 1 species